CUCAUGGCACAGCAGGCCGGCCCUGUGCCACCUCAUGCCAGGAGAGCAGAUUAGAGGCACUUCACCUCACCCUGCUGGAUCUCAAGGCGCAGCCCAGGUGAGGAGAGUGUCCAGUUUGGGAACCUCCGAAUUAGGAUCUCUGCAUCAGCCAAGGUGCUGGUGGCCAAAGGCAGGGCAAGCUGGGGCCCACAGGCGGGUGUAUGUGAGGGGUGACCCGAGCUGUAUUUCUUUAUUUGGGGGGAUACCCCACUUGGCAGCCCUCUCACCCCUGUUGGUAAACCCCAGCCCUAUGUUAACCAUGCCGUUCUUAAAAAGACUUUUUAAAGAUUGUUUGUCAUUUAGUAUAGGACAUCUAUUGUAACGUGUCAGUUUCCCAU